CAGGAACUGGUUAUGGUCCGACAGCGCCACUUGCUGCUGGGGAGGCGGAACUACAUUAUAAUUAUAAUGGGUCAAUACAUACCGAUAGUCUAAAGAAACUUUACAAUAUAAAGAAACAUACAAAGAACAUCUUUAUUACCUACACAAGACACCUACAUCACAUGACCAGCUGAGCGCUUCAGCUGCAGAGGACUGGUCAGCCCUAAAGCAUCGCUGAGAUGUUCAGAAGUUCUGCAUUGAUCCCAAAGUCAUCAAUAAAUGAAAGUUUGUGUUUCAGUGGUUCUGGAGUCUCCUGGGCCCUCGGACCGGUCCAGACCUGGGUCCACCAGAGCC